rnacentral:misc_RNA from 1 species
GUUUCAUUUCCAUCAUUCUUAUUUACCUCGAAAAAAUGGCAUCUUUGAAUGAUGAUUGUCAUGUUCUUGUUGUUUCGUUUACCGGACAAGGAAAUAUCAAUCCAUGUAUUCAAUUUUCCAAGAAUUUGAUCAAAUUAGGUGUAAAUGUCACAUUCUCAACAAGCCUAACAGCUUUUAAUCGAAUCUCGAAUCUUCCAACCAUACAAGGAUUAACAUUUGCUCCUUUCUCUGAUGGUUAUGAUGGCAACUUCGAAGGUCCCAUGAACAGAAUCCAUGAGUUCAAUGCUUCAUUGAGGACUCAUGGUACUGAGUUUGUCACGAAUUUAGUCGAAGACAGGGCAAAACAGGGCUGCCCUUUUAAACGUAUCAUCUACACGACGUUAACUGCCUGGAUUGGUUUAUUAGCCAAGAAAAUCAACGUUCCAUCGACGUUUCUUUGGAUUCAACCAGCCUCAGUCUUGAAUAUUUACUACUAUUUUUUCAAUGGUUAUGAGGAUUCUAUCAAGAAUUGUUCAAAAGAUCAAUCUUUUGAGCUUCCUGGACUGCCUUUGUUGUCUCGUCGUGAUUUCCCUUCUAUCUUGUUCAAUGAUUCGAAUGAUUGGACAUUACUUGCCAUGAAAGAACAUGUUGAGUUGCUAAAGAGUGAGACUAACCAAAAAGUUCUUGUGAACACUUUCGAUGCUUUGGAAUUUGAUGCUGUGAAUGUUAUAGAGAGUGUUACUAUAUCCGGAAUUGGCCCUUUGAUUCCUUCGGCUUUUCUUGAUGGAAAUGAUUCUUCUGAUACUUCAUUUGGAGUUGAUAUGAGACGAAGUCUCGAUAAGUAUAUGGAUUGGUUGGAUUCUAAGGCUAAAGAAUCGGUAAUUUACAUAGCAUUUGGUAGUUAUUCUCAGAUACCAAAUCAACUCAUGGAGGAGAUUGCU